rnacentral:rRNA from 1 species
GACGAACGCUGGCGGCGUGCCUAAUACAUGCAAGUCGAACGCACUCUCGUUUAGAUUGAAGGAGCUUGCUCCUGAUUGAUAAGCAUUUGAGUGAGUGGCGGACGGGUGAGUAACACGUGGGUAAACCUGCCCUAAAGUGGGGAUAACAUUUGGAAACAGAUGCUAAUACCGCAUAAAAACCUAGCACCGCAAUGGUGCAGGGUUGAAAGAUGGUUUCGGCUAUCACUUUAGGAUGGACCCGCGGUGCAUUGGUUAGUUGGUGAGGUAAAGGCUCACCAAGACCGUGAUGCAUAGCCGACCUGAGAGGGUAAUCGGCCACACUGGGACUGAGACACGGCCCAGACUCCUACGGGAGCAGCAGUAGGGGAAUCUUCCACAAUGGACGAAGUACUGAUGGAGCAACGCCGCGUGAGUGAAGAAGG